UACGACCACAUAACGUUGAAACACCAGUUCCUGUACGACCCCCAAAGUUAAGCAACGUUGAGUUUUGUCAGUACCUAGGUGGGUGACUGCUUGAGAAUACCAGGUUCUGUAA